GCGGGGUUUCCCCGGUCACGUGAGGGUCGGGGGGCGGCCGGAGCGAUGGCGGCGGCGUCCGGGCCUCUCCCCGGUGUGGAUCAUCUGGUGGCGGAAAAGUUUGGAUCUCGUCCUGAAGCUCCUCCCACACUCCCCACACUCAUAGGGCCGUUCUCCCGUGUGGCUCCUCUGGUGGACAAUAAGCUAUAACCGAAGGCUCCACUGAGGGGCUAGCUGUCGGUCCACAUCACUGUGAACUUGACCUGCUAGAGCUUUGUACUACUGGGAGCUGAGGAACUGGGGACUUUUCUUUCAACGCUGGAAAGUCAUUCUUCCAAUGUCCCCAUUUUUUACAUUAAAGUGAUCUUUCUCCAUAGGAGAUGUUUUCUUGGA